CAAAACCAACAAUAAUAUCAACUCCCCGCUCCUCCUCUCACAGCACCCUCCUCUAAUUUGACCGUUGCAAAUCUUCUUCCACACACAAAAAGAAAGCAGCAAAACCCCACCAAAACCUCUCCAUUGAAAAGCCCUCUCUCUUUGCUUCAGCAGAGAGAGGUCUUUUCCUUUUCAAUCUCCCUCUUUACCAUAAGCAGAGAAACCAUUACCAUUAAUCCCAUUAGCUCAAAAUUAUCAGAGAAAAUUCCACAAGAAAUGGAUUCGCCACCAAGAAGAAAGAGUGGCCUCAACCUCCCUUCUGGGAUGACCGAAACUUCUCUGCGAUUGGAUACUUUUCCAGGUUCUUGUCGAGCUGUAACGUGUGUAUCGUCACCUCGAGCAUUAUCAAGCCUGUCAUCGCCGUCAAAAUCUUCCACUUGUAGUGAUAGAUUCAUACCUUGUAGAUCAUCUUCGAGGCUCCACACUUUUGGGCUUGUAGAGAAGGGGUCUCCUGUUAAAGAAGGAGGCAAUGAGGCCUACUCAAGGUUGUUGAAAUCUGAGCUUUUUGGAUCUGAUUUUUCUUCUUUUUCUUCUCCUGCAGGUGGUCAAGGGGGCUCUGCUUUGAGCAGCCCUAGCAAGAAUAUGUUGAGGUUUAAGACUGAUCACUCGGGUCCUAAUUCUCCAUUCUCUCCUUCAAUCUUGGGGUUUGAUAAUGGGAUCUCUAGUGAGGCUUCUACGCCUCCUAAGCCACCCCGAAAGGUCCCCAAGACACCUCAUAAGGUUUUAGAUGCCCCAUCACUUCAAGAUGACUUCUAUUUGAAUCUUGUGGAUUGGUCCUCACAGAAUGUACUUGCAGUAGGGUUGGGUACAUGUGUUUAUUUGUGGACUGCAUCAAAUAGCAAAGUGACAAAGUUGUGUGACCUGGGACCUCAUGACAGUGUGUGCUCUGUGCAAUGGACCCGGGAGGGCUCAUACAUAUCCAUUGGCACUUAUCUUGGUCAAGUUCAGGUAUGGGAUGGAACUCAGUGCAAGAAGGUGCGAACCAUGGCCGGCCAUCAAACGAGAACUGGAGUUUUGGCAUGGAAUUCUCGUAUACUGUCAUCAGGAAGCAGAGACCGAAACAUACUUCAGCAUGAUCUUCGUGUUUCAAAUGACUUUGUUAGCAAGCUUGUUGGUCAUAAAUCUGAGGUGUGUGGCUUAAAAUGGUCCCAUGAUGACAGAGAACUUGCUUCAGGUGGAAAUGAUAAUCAGCUCCUGGUAUGGAACCAGCAUUCUCAGCAGCCAAUUUUAAAACUCACUGAGCACACUGCUGCUGUCAAGGCCAUUGCUUGGUCACCCCAUCAGACCGGUCUUCUUGCAUCUGGAGGUGGAACUGCUGAUCGAUGUAUUCGUUUUUGGAACACAACCAAUGGUCAUCAAUUAAACCAUGUUGACACUGGGAGUCAGGUGUGCAAUCUAGCAUGGAGUAAGAAUGUGAAUGAGGUGGUUAGCACUCAUGGCUACUCCCAGAAUCAAAUUAUGGUGUGGAAAUAUCCAUCAAUGACAAAGGUAUUAUUAACCCAAGUUGAAGAUAAAUCCUUGUGUACACAAUCCUUCAAGUUUUGUGAAAAUGUCCAUGCUCAGCAGAUUACCAAUCUGUGUUUUCUUGGCUUGUGAAGGUUGCAACUCUAACUGGCCAUAGCCUGCGAGUACUCUACCUUGCCAUGUCACCCGAUGGUCAGGUAGAUUGUUGUGAAUUUCUAUGUUCAUGUGCAUACCAGAAUAUAUAUCCCUGCAUAGAAGAACUUCUCAAGUCUUGAUUGUUAUGCAGACAAUAGUUACUGGAGCAGGGGAUGAGACCCUACGGUUUUGGAAUAUCUUCCCAUCCGUUAAAACACCGGUAAGCAUAGCAUGAUAGCCUUUUUUUUACUGGUUACAAUAUCCCCAGAAGCUUCCAUUGAAACUGUCUUCCUUGUUUGUGUCUUCAGGCACCAGUCAAAGAUACAGGUCUUUGGUCAUUAGGACGAACUCACAUUCGGUGACAAACCCUAGGCUAACUAACAUCAA
rnacentral:misc_RNA from 1 species